rnacentral:rRNA from 1 species
GACGAACGCUGGCGGCGUGCUUAACACAUGCAAGUCGAACGGAAAGGCCCUGCUUUUGUGGGGUGCUCGAGUGGCGAACGGGUGAGUAACACGUGAGUAACCUGCCCUUGACUUUGGGAUAACUUCAGGAAACUGGGGCUAAUACCGGAUAGGAGCUCCUGCUGCAUGGUGGGGGUUGGAAAGUUUCGGCGGUUGGGGAUGGACUCGCGGCUUAUCAGCUUGUUGGUGGGGUAGUGGCUUACCAAGGCUUUGACGGGUAGCCGGCCUGGGAGGGUGACCGGCCACAUUGGGACUGGGAUACGGCCCAGCCUCCUACGGGAGGCAGCAGUGGGGAAUAUUGCACAAUGGGCGGAAGCCUGAUGCAGCAACGCCGCGUGCGGGAUGACGGCCUUCGGGUUGUAAACCGCUUUCGCCUGUGACGAAGCGUGAGUGACGGUAAUGGGUAAAGAAGCACCGGCUAACUACGUG